rnacentral:rRNA from 1 species
CGUAGGGUGCAAGCGUUAAUCGGAAUUACUGGGCGUAAAGCGUGCGCAGGCGGUUAUGCAAGACAGAUGUGAAAUCCCCGGGCUCAACCUGGGAACUGCAUUUGUGACUGCAUAGCUAGAGUACGGUAGAGGGGGAUGGAAUUCCGCGUGUAGCAGUGAAAUGCGUAGAUAUGCGGAGGAACACCGUUGGCGAAGGCAAUCCCCUGGACCUGUACUGACGCUCAUGCACGAAAGCGUGGGGAGCAAACAGGAUUAGAUACCCUGGUAGUCCACGCCCUAAACGAUGUCAACUGGUUGUUGGGAGGGUUUCUUCUCAGUAACGUAGCUAACGCGUGAAGUUGACCGCCUGGGGAGUACGGCCGCAAGGUUG